AAGAAAAAGAAAUAUGAAAUAUGAGAAAUGAGAAAAUGGACGAUAAAAAUGACUGUAAAUUAUAUUAGGGUUUUGAUAUAGGGGUUUCCGGUCAUCGAAGUGAGGAAGGAUGAAGAUAGCGGUGGAAGGGUGCAUGCACGGCGAUCUGGAAAAUGUUUACAGAACUCUUCAACAUCUUGAGAAAUCCCAAAACACGAAAAUCGAUCUCCUCCUUUGCUGCGGCGAUUUUCAAGCUGUGAGGAACGAGCACGAUUUGAAGAGUUUGAACGUUCCCCACCGCUAUCGCUCCAUGAAUUCCUUCUGGAAGUACUAUUCUGGAUUAGAGGUUGCCCCUUAUCCCACCAUUUUCAUCGGUGGCAAUCACGAAGCAUCCAAUUAUUUGUGGGAACUGUACUAUGGAGGUUGGGCUGCUCCUAAUAUCUACUUCUUGGGAGUUGCUGGAGUGGUGAAGUUUGGGAAUAUUCGAAUUGGUGGUCUCUCUGGAAUUUAUAAUGCUCGUCACUAUAAUUUAGGUUGAGUAUUUGUUUACGAAUUGUGAGUUGCUGAAGAGUAUUGAAUCUGAAUGGGAUUUUUGUGUUAUAGUUACAGAAUGAUGCUAGGUUGUGUGUUUGAGCAGGACACUUUGAGAGGCCUCCCUAUGACCAGAGUACCGUUAGGUCUGUGUAUCAUGUUCGAGAAUACGAUGUUCAUAAACUUAUGCAAGUCGAGGAACCUAUCGAUAUUUUUCUUUCGCACGAUUGGCCGCUGAGAAUCACUGAUUAUGGGGAUUGGGAGGAGCUUGUUCGGCGCAAGCAUUUUUUUAGGAAAGAGCUCAUAAUUUUGCCAGAUAGAGGAAAAAAGACUUGGGAGUAAACCUGCUGGUCAGCUUCUAGAAAAACUGAAACCGCAUUAUUGGUUUUCAGCCCACUUACACUGCAAGUUUGCUGCUCUAGUUCAACAUGGGGAGGGAGGCCCACUGACAAAAUUCCUUGCACUGGAUAAAUGUAUUGCUGGGCGUGAUUUCUUACAGAUUGUGGAAAUUGAAUCAGAUGCAGGACCUUAUGAGAUUCAGUAUGAUGAAGAAUGGUUAGCAAUAACACGGAGGUUCAACUCCAUCAUCCCUCUGACUACCAAAUAUGCUGAUUUCAGAGGUGUAAAUUUUGAAAUGAAAGAUUGCCAUGAAUGGGUUAGAAGGAGACUACAGGAGAGGGGGUGCAAACCUUUCGAAUUUGUUAGAACAGCUCCAUGUUAUGAUCCUUCACAAUCCAAUUUUGAUGGUGCUUUUGCAGUGAAUUCCAGAAAUCCUCAGACAGAAUCUCUUUUGCAGCUUCUAGAACUUCCAUAUCUUCUUGAUAGCAAUCCUGAAGCAAAAGACUUGUCACCUCAUUGUUCCCCUUCAAUUCAAAGAGGCAUUGGUUAUGACAACGAGGACAUUCCCAUUGAUGACGUGGAUGAUGAUGAUGAAGAGGGCCCAAAAGUUGAUGACGUGGAAACCGAGAUUUCUAAUUUGUGAAUUGUUGUUGCAGUUAACAUGCUCAAUUAGUAUUGACUUGCGGCCAACAUUUUAUAUCAAGUUAUUACACUGAUACGCGUUCAAUAGACUAUGGAUUUUCCACCCAUGUAGUUAUGUUGUAUGUAUAUUAAAUUACCAUUUUUUAGAUUAUAUAAAAGAACUCUAGGUUGAAAU